UACGUAGGGUGCGAGCGUUGUCCGGAAUUACUGGGCGUAAAGAGCUCGUAGGUGGUUUGUCGCGUUGUUCGUGAAAACUCACAGCUUAACUGUGGGCGUGCGGGCGAUACGGGCAGACUGGAGUACUGCAGGGGAGACUGGAAUUCCAGGUGUAGCGGUGAAAUGCGUAGAUAUCUGGAGGAACACCGGUGGCGAAGGCGGCGUUCUGGACUGUUUCUGACACUGAAAAACGAAAGCCAGGGGAGCAAACGGG
rnacentral:rRNA from 1 species